GAUGAACGCUGGCGGCGUGCCUAAUACAUGCAAGUCGAGCGAACAGACGAGGAGCUUGCUCCUCUGACGUUAGCGGCGGACGGGUGAGUAACACGUGGAUAACCUACCUAUAAGACUGGGAUAACUUCGGGAAACCGGAGCUAAUACCGGAUAAUAUAUUGAACCGCAUGGUUCAAUAGUGAAAGACGGUUUUGCUGUCACUUAUAGAUGGAUCCGCGCCGCAUUAGCUAGUUGGUAAGGUAACGGCUUAUCAAGGCGACGAUGCGUAGCCGACCUGAGAGGGUGAUCGGCCACACUGGAACUGAGAAACGGUCCAGACUCCUACGGGAGGCAGCAGUAGGGAAUCUUCCGCAAUGGGCGAAAGCCUGACGGAGCAACGCCGCGUGAGUGAUGAAGGUCUUCGGAUCGUAAAACUCUGUUAUUAGGGAAGAACAAAUGUGUAAGUAACUAUGCACGUCUUGACGGUACCUAAUCAGAAAGCCACGGCUAACUACGUG
rnacentral:rRNA from 1 species